GCAUUGAGCACUGAGCUGCCAGGAUAAGCUCCAGCUUCCUGCACCUCUGAACUGGAAUAAGUUGAUGGAGUCUCACUCUAUUGCCAGGCUAAGGCGCAGUGGCACAAUCUUGGCUCACCGCAACCUUCGCCUCCUGGCUUCAAGCAAUUCGCCUGCCUCAGCCUCCUGAGUAGCCGGGACUACAGGCAUGUACCACCACGCCCAGCUAAUUUUUGUAUUUUUAGUAGAGAUGGGGUUUCAUCAUGUUGGCCAGGAUGGUCUCGAUCUCUUGACCUCAUGAUCUGCUCGUCUUAGCCUCCCAAAGUGCUGGGAUUACAGGCGAGAGCCACCACGCCCGACCAUAUGAAUAUAGUGUGUCCACUUAUUCCAGUUCAGUGUUGAAGAUGGCUGGAGCCCAUCCCAGUAGCUCAGGGCAGAAGGCAGGAACCAACCCUGGAGUCUCACUCUGUUGCCCAGCCUGGAGUGUAGUGGCAUGAUCUCGGCUCACUGCGACUUCCGCCUCCCAGGUUCAAGUGAUUCUCGUGCCUCAGCUUCCCCAGUAGCUAGGAUUACAGGUGCGUGCCACACUGCCCAACUAAUUUUUGUAUUUUUAGUAGAGACGGGAUUUCACCCUCUUGGCUAGGCUGGUCUCAAACUCCUGACCUCAAGUGAUCUGCCU
rnacentral:lncRNA from 1 species